AAUACAAUUUUUGUGUUAAGUUGCCUUUAUUUAACCUUAUUAGAUGUGUUCUGGAAUUGGUUGUUUAUGUAUUCAUUUCAAAAGUUUGCACAAAGAAAACCGCCUAGCUUAGAUGUUAGUCAAUGGCUUAUCGUAAAAAGUAGUUCCUUAGAAAUUCAGCAAUGAAAGUAGAGCUCAUUUUUUGUAAAUUCAUGUUUUUUUCCUGUUUGCAGAGAGCUCUUCCCAGCAGACUGGCAUGCACCAGGACAUUGUUAAUAUUCCUUAGACAUAAUGAUAAUCCUAAGCAGUGUAAUGAAAUUAGAAGACAAUUAAUAGAUUUAAGCUACAGUGAUAACUUCUACGAACGGAUGCUGUAUGUGAAAACAUGUUCGACCAUCAUAGAUUUGUUCUCGAGUUUUUAUUUCAAUAGUUAUUUUCUUCCAAGCAUUUUUAGAUUAGCCGGUGACAAAGUGGCAAAUAUUAGAUUAGCGGUUGUGUUCCUCCUACCUCGCAUAAUAACGGUCAUGCAGCUAAAUAAAUCAUCUUUUGAUCCUUUAGAAAAUGCUCUAGCAAAACUUAGGAAAGACUCCGAUUUAGAAAUUCGAUACCAAGUAGAAUUAUUGGACUCCACCAGUUCGGACCUCUUGCCAUCUAGUGUCAUUAAAGAAAACGAAAAUAAGUUGGAAGAAGAAGAAGCACUUUUUCGUCGAAAAGAUAUUGCUGAAGUGGCGAUAAACCUCUCACUAUCUAGUGAACCAAAAAUUAACCGGUGGGCAGUCUUGUCUAGAAGCAGCAAAACCCCUGUAAAUGGCUCCAAAGCAACGUCUGUCAUUUCAGCUAAUAGUAACAGGUUUCCGUUGGCCGACUCAGACAUGGAGUUCAUGAUUGAUGCUGGUGUGCCCUUCUCGAAAACUGUCUCUUCGCGAAUUCCCUCCAUCUCCCACAAACCAUCCUCAGAGCACUACGACUCCGCCCACCCAUUUCCCAACUGCUCUUAUAUUCCUAUUAUCUCGACAAGUAUCUCCCCAUCUUACCAGUUUUCUCCACUCGCAUAUGUGUCGUCCAACUGCAGCGAUCAACGCUAUUCUGACAUUGAUACUUUCAACCACUUCUCCAAAGUCUUUGCACGCCCUAAACUCUCACUCGUGUCUGGGUCGAACUAUUUUGACCACGACCCUAAAUUUGCUUCGAUCAGUCAUGUCCAAUACCGCCACGGACUGCCACCCGCUGAAAAGGUUACAAUAAAAUCCUACUCUUCUAUCCCGAAAAGUAAAGUCUUUAAAAUCUCAAGCGCAAAAAAUGACUCCUUGUUCAAUUUUAACGAGCAACGCAAGCCAAAAUCACAACCCUUGGAUCGCCCCAGCUCGAAUGUCAAGACUGCUUCCCCCGUAAGCAAUAAAAACGGAAGCAAUUCUUUCUCAAAUAGCAAUAGAGACAUGCUCUUAAGCAGUGGCUCGUAUUACUCAAAGGGACGACCCAAGGUACAUUUAUUUGGGGGAUCUCCUUUAGGAAUUUCAUUUCAUGGGCCAUCCACCCAAUCCACAAGUCAGUCUUACACCCCGAUCAGCUACUUUACGAUUCAGGACCCCAAUUUGAAUCAUCCUCACUCAAGGUACAGCGUGACUGAGCCUCAGGAGACCAAUCUCAACGCCCCUCUUCCACGCUUCGGAUCGUCUGAGAAUAUGAAUCGGCAAAAAAAAUACAGUAGUCGGCUACCUGUCCGGUCCACGAAAAAGGACAGCCGAAAUGGAAGUCAAUAAUGCUGAAAAUCGAGAAGUUGACAAAGAAGUACACACAGGCCAUCACCAUUCUAGCUCAUCAACCGGUGGUUAUACCUUCACCCCUUGUUCCUCUCUUUAUUUUCAGUGUCUACCACUUUAACUACGUUAUUUUGACUAGAGUCUAUUUUUGUGAUAAAUAAGUUAUUUUAUUUAUUUUAUUUUUUUUUAAAUCGGUGCUGAGAAACUUUUUCUUUUGUCUUUACAUUUUUUAAGUAAAGUUAUUUUUUCCUCUCUUUGCCUAGUUUGUAAGCAAUUAUUUUUGUGAGAUCUAUUCUUGUUUCCGACAAGAAUUGAAAAAUAACAGUGAUUUUAAUAAUCAAGGGUUCUGACUUAAGAUGCCAGUGUUUUCUCAAAUAGAGUUAUUGAUUUUUUAUCAGAUGAUGCUAUUUUUGCAUAAUUUAUUGCAUAGGUUAAGAAAUUUUGACUUGAAUCGAAAUAGCUGUUGUUGCAAAAGCGUGUGUAAUUUACAAUUGAUGGUAAAUUUUAUCGCAUGGGAUGUUGAAAUUAUCAAGUUGAAGUGUUAACAUAGAAGCAAUAUAUUUGAUGAAGAAAUAAUUUUUUAAGUAGAACUUACGCCAGAUAAGUUAACAGUAGAAGUUGUUCACUUCUAACUGUCAUUAAUCGUUUAUCGGUUCAUGUAUUUGUGCACAAAGAAGCUCCGUUGGUCAGUCCUUGGUAGCCAUUGGACAGCAGCACAAAUAGAUGGUUAUCAACCACCAUUUUAUCAGACAUGAGUUCUACUUCUCAGGUUUAUUUCAAUUUCCCUCCCAGUUUGCUCCUAAUUCAUUUCUCUUUUUUUUAAUUCAAUAUAAUUAACCUUUUCUAAGUUCAAAAUGGCACAAAAUUUUAUAAAUUUCAUGCGAAACAGAAAGUAAGAUACAUUGUUGUUUGAGACAUUGUGAUCGAAAUUAGUUACAAGUACAACAAAUUGUCAUUUUCAGUGACUGUUAACAAAAAUUCGGUGCUCAAUGCGAUAAAGAUGGACCUUCUCGACUUCCGAGAACGAUUUUUGUUUUGUGUUAUUCACCCAGAACUUCUUUUAAAGGAAUUUCCAAAUGUUUUUUGGUCCGAUUUUGAGUACAAGUGCCUGACAAACUUCAGUUUCAGAUGUGAUACUAGGAGAUUUUUGAAGGAAUUUCGAAUUGUAGACAUUAUCGAUUGAUUAUCAAAUCGCUCUGCUGUGUGUUGAAGAUCUAUCUUUAGUUAAGGCUUUAACCGCAUAAAUUUUGCUCCAUUUUUUCAGAUAAUCAAGAAUUUGGUAUCAUAUUUUUUAAGAUGAAUUAAAAAAUGGCCAUGGUGCAGAAUGUUAACACUAAAUCUAUUUUUUCAUAUUUAAAACUAGCAUGAAAUGUCUAUCCUUACUGAGUCUUUGCCUUCUCAAAAAAUGUUUAAGGAUCAAAAGAUGGUUAAAGGGGUGUGAAACCAUCAAUAUUUUACAUAAUGCUACAUUUACAGCUAUUAAAUACCUGCCAAAGCCCCUAUAAUGCUUCAAUAGCUACUUUAUAACUUUCCUUUCACCCUCUUCCCAAAAUUACUUUUCAAGUUUUAUAAAUUAGUUAAAUGUACGGACGUUGCUUUUAAGUAUGAAGAAAGAAAGAAAAUAGUCUGAGAUAGAAUAGGAGAUGAUAAGUUAUCGGGUGCUCAGUUUAUUUUUCAGGUAAAACUUGAGUAAGAAAUGUGUCAAGUAAUGCUCCCCUCAAUAUCCCCUUAUCCUUGGAAUCUACUCGCAAGGACAGUGGAAAUACCCACCGAUGCCUUUGAGCAACACAUAAUUAAUUGACAACUUAAUUCUGUUAAGUUGCGUUUUUUCAGGAAUGAACAGACACAAAAAUAUAUUUAUUCAAGAAUUAAAAUGGGUGUCACUAAGCAGAAUAGAUCUAUCUCUAAAGAAGAGUUUAUGAAACAACAUGGUAACGGCAUGAAUUAUCUUGGCAGAUACACCUUUCCUAAGGCUUUUCGAGGUAAAUCUAUUGCUGCAUGACAUUCAAAUAUUCAUGGUGGGUAACUGUGUUCAGUCCUGCCUGCUGAUAAUUAUUUUAUGUCCCUGUCAGCAAUAUACCCAAUGGGCUAUAAUAUUUUUUUUAAAUGUUUGUUGGAUAAAUAUUUUUAUCACUCGUUAUUUACUACAUAAUUUAAACUUAUUGUAUCACUCAUUACUCAUACUCAUCUACUGUAAGUGGCAUUGUACUUUUUAAUCUCCUCUGCAUUACAUUUAAGUUUCAAAAACUUGCUGAGGGUGUCUUCAGGUCUGGAGCACCAGAGGUCAGAGAAACAAAGUCAAGGAAUGAGUUUAAAUGAGGAAUUCCCAUUUAAGAUAAUUGACUAAUUCAUAUCUGAAGGAUAAAGGCUGGCAUGUAUCUGUCAUUGCAGUGAAAUGAAUGCCCAAAAUCGUUUUACGUUUGUAAAUUUGGUUGAAGUUUGGUGAAAAAAGUCUGGUAAUUAUGAUUUCUUCACUACGGGAAAACCUAGAAAAUUCGAGAAAUUUUUCCCUGCCAAGUCUGUAGACACCCUGUUUCUAUGCCUCAUUAUGUUUUUUUUUUUUUAGAAGAAAUAUCCCUCUAUAAUAUUCCUCUUAAGUGAGCUCUGCCUUGCAGAAGAUGUUUAGUCACUUCUCGAGUGAGGAUUUCAUUUUUACAAUUUUCGUUCUCUGCAGAUUAUAUGGAUAGUCGGCAGAGAACUAAAAUUGUAAAAAUAUAAAAUUCAAAACAAGCAAUCUAGCUUAAUGUUAAUUUGUUUCUUAUUUUUCAUUUUAUACUAUUUGGACGUGUGUAUUUAAGCAUGAAGGAACGGUAAGUUAGCCAAUGUUGCAGAGUUUCCUCUCAUAUGGCACUUUUUAGAGGAAAAUAAGCAAAUUGUAUUGACUUUCCUGUGAAUCUUUAGAGUUUGGUGAGAAAUAUUUUCUCAAGAUUUUAAGAAAAAUCUUGAGCAAGUCACACUCAAAUAAAUUAGACAAUAAAUGCCUCUAUGAGAGGCCUGCUCAUAAACCCCUGCUUCUUAAGAUAUAUUUCAGAGGGCUUGAAAGCUUUGAUUUAAAUACUUAGCUCAUCAAACGCUGCUGCUAAUUUAUAGCCUAAAACAUUAUAUUUAAAAAGACUGCAGCAAAUCAGGGAAGCAUUCAUUGAAAAUAAAGUCAAGCAAAAACUUCCUGCCUCCAAGUUCUGCACGUAAUGUGAUGUUGCAGUGAUGAAACUUCUUUUCGCAGCAAGUUCCUUUUUGCUUAAAUCUAUUUGUAUCCAAAUGUAUUGAUUCAUGCUACUCUCAUUCUAUUCAAUUGGACCACAUAUUAAGUAGCUUAUGCGACAUGUUGUUUUUUAUUCCCUUUCUAUAAGCUACUUCUCAUUGUGACAAAUUAUUUUCCCCGUGUUGAGGGAAAUUUAUUUCAUUUACAAAUCUCAUUUUUCCAUGAUUUCUAUGUCAAUUUUCUGUUAUGUAUAGCAAGAACAAAACACGCUAGAAUCUUUAAAAAUAAGGAUCUGUUUCUGUUUAUUUUUUUUUCUUUUUUUUUCCCCUCAAAAAAGUGUGUAUGCCAGAAAUGUUUAAAGUCCCUCUGAUUUGAGGGAUUAACUUCCGUGUGCCAUUUUCAUUUAUUUAUGAAUACUCCAAGAUAAGUAUGGAGUAGGAAAAGAUACCAACAGCCAAGUGGGUAAAUGAGAAGCAAUCAAGAUUGGAAAUGUGGGGCCUGUGUACAAUCGUGCCUUCAACAAGAAUUGCGAUAAUUUUCUCUAAGCACCCUAAAAAAUUUUCUCCAUGCAAAAACAUCUGUUUUUCCUUGAACGGUCACAUAUUAUUUUCUUUUCGAAAUUUCCACUUAGUGACUUUUGUAAUUUGAUUCAUCAUAUGAAAAAUUUGUGAAAUGUGUAAUAGAUUUAAUUGAACAUGAAGGAACAAUAGAGAUUAAGGGAAUGACUUGAAGAAUAAGUCGCACACUCAAUCCUGGAAUUAAAAAAAAAAUUAACAGUGGAAUUAGAUUUUUUCCUUCCUUUGGAGCAAUCGUAGUUUCAAAGGAUUUUUAUGAGGGUGCCAACUCCUGUGAUUAUCUCCACUUGUAAAUGAUGGUACCAAUGAACCCAAAGCAAACUGACAAUGUAGAAGUAUUUAAAGCAAUGAAUAUGGUUACCGAUUGCUUCCAUGGAAUUUUAUAAUAAUUUUUGUUAAAUCUGAGAAAUAAAUUUAUUUUCGUUUGAUUUUGAUAAAUUUCACUCUUGUUCUUUAAUUCUUUACCCUAUGAAGAAAAAUUCAUGCGCUCUCUUUUGAGAUCCAAAAAUAUGACAAAGGAACUUUAGGAGAGAAUAAUUAUAUCAACAGUGAAACUUCUAUAAUGCGUAUCUUGGUUUCAGUGUUUCAAAUUCUCCUCUCAUACUUUAUUUUUUAAAAGGAGACCAAACCAACAUCAUGGCUUUAAGUUUUCAAAUCAUAUUUUUUAUAAAAAGAAGAAAACUCACUCAAAUUUUCACAAAAAGGUGUGCAGUAGUUUACCAUGUUGAAAAUAAGGUAUGGCAGGAAGUCUGCAACUCCGCAAAAUGAAAUAACCUUAUCUUCAGUUUCACUAUCGAUGUGGAUGUCAAAUGUAGUUGGUGGCGUACAGGUUUUGUUCGAAGUGUUCAGCUGAAAGUAGACAAAUUACAUUUAGAAGCACAUUAUUGCCUUUUGUUUCAAUGGAAAUUAUUUUGGAAACCUUUGAUCAUUCAAACACAAAACUAUUUGCUUGAAUUGAUUGGCUGAAUUGAAUAUUUUCCGAUCAGAUAAUUUUGGUUCCAAUGCAUUAAAAGUUCUGGACAGAUCACUGUACCUAUAUAAGCUUUGAAGAAUCUGCUGAAAAAAGCUCCUUGAAGUACAUAAUAGAUUUGUUCAGUAUUUUAGAAAAAUUU
rnacentral:lncRNA from 1 species